rnacentral:lncRNA from 1 species
GCUCUUGUUGGCACCAUAAAUUGGUUUUGCUUCACACUGUGUUGAUCAAGAGUGUGUGAAGCUUUUGAGAAUUGUGGUUGCCUUCCAUUGAUGAAGCUCUUGUUGGCACCAUAAAUUGGUUUUGCUUUAUACUGUCUUGAUCAAGAGUGUGUGAAGCUUUCUACGAUUUGUAGUGUUUGCAUUGAUACAGAGGGGAAAUGUCUGAAGUAGAUGCAAGAGGGCUGAAUAGCUUGAUCUUUGUAUGCCAUGCACUCAAGUUGUUGUUGGCUUGCAAUAAGACUUUGUUGGUGACUAUAACUCUUGUUGGGCAUAAAUGCUCCCGUAGUUGAGUUGUCAAGCUUGAGAGUUUUUGAUUAUUUGUGAAUGUUAGGAGUUCACAUGUACAAGUUGUACCACUCGUCUUCUGGUAGGUGGAAUGAAUGGUGAGUUGCUUUCAUCACUUGGUUGGUGGUACAAAGAUGAGUUCCUUCUUCACCUGGUUGGUGGCAUGAAUGGCAAGUUGCGAAAUGAUAUUAGAGUACGGGUUGUACAUUUCAUCAC